rnacentral:rRNA from 1 species
UUGCACCUACGGGGGGCAGCAGUGGGGAAUAUUGCACAAUGGGGGGAACCCUGAUGCAGCGACGCCGCGUGGGUGAAGAAGUCAUUCGUGACGUAAAGCCCUAUCAGCAGGGAAGAAAAUGACGGUACCUGACUAAGAAGCCCCGGCUAACUACGUGUCAGCAGCCGCGGUAAUACGUAGGGGGCAAGCGUUAUCCGGAUUUACUGGGUGUAAAGGGAGCGUAAGCGGCUUGGCAAGUCAGUAGUGAAAUCCAUGGGCUUAACCCAUGAACUGCUAUUGAAACUGUCGAGCUUGAGUGAAGUAGA